rnacentral:rRNA from 1 species
UACGUAGGUGGCAAGCGUUAUCCGGAAUUAUUGGGCGUAAAGCGCGCGCAGGCGGUUUCUUAAGUCUGAUGUGAAAGCCCACGGCUCAACCGUGGAGGGUCAUUGGAAACUGGGGAACUUGAGUGCAGAAGAGAAAAGCGGAAUUCCACGUGUAGCGGUGAAAUGCGUAGAGAUGUGGAGGAACACCAGUGGCGAAGGCGGCUUUUUGGUCUGUAACUGACGCUGAGGCGCGAAAGCGUGGGGGAGCAAACAGG